AUACCUUUCUCGGCCUUUUGGCUAAGAUCAAGUGUAGUAUCUGUUCUUAUCAGUUUAAUAUCUGAUACGUGGGCCAUUGGCUCACAUGAUAUUAAAUUUAUUUUUUUAGGGGCUGGGUCCAUCUCAGUGGCUUGCUGCUGGGGCCCGGAAGCGUCGCCCUUGUCUUGCACUAUUGCAUGGGCCAGGCGCACCCCAC